GGAGACUUCAAAGAUGAGAAAUGAUUGCACUGGGCCUUAGAGAGGAAGUUCAGCAGAACAAGGUGGGAAGGGCACGAUAUCAGAGUAAGAGGCACUGAUGGUGAACAAAUAUAGAGACUGGAAUCCAGUGACGUCACACAGGCGCUCUGGAAGCCAGUGAUGCAGUAUCAGAAUCUGGGAACACAAUGAGGCAAUGUUUCAGCUGCUUGUGCAUUCUUCACCUCCCAUUGUCUCUGUCUCUCUCUUUCUCCUCUGCUUCCCCUCACCCCACAACCAAAGUCAAGAGCGCAGACCCCAUGAUCACCUGAUACUUCCAAGCAAGCAGGUGUUCUUUUCAGAAGCCAGAAGCUGAUAACCUGGGCUUUCUGAUCUAACCCCAGCCCAAAUUCAUUGCAAUGGAGGAAUUGGGGAGGAGAUUCUUCCUACUGAGAAGUGGGUGCCAACUCUCCCUUUCAAAUUUGUUCAUCAACAAACUAAAGGGGAUGCCAGAAAUGUCUGGAGCAAUGGAAGAACCACUGGAAUAAUGCUCCUGCCUGAUUGUAUCUACUUAACCCACUCUCCAAGAGCCAGAAUCAGAUUUCAACCGUAUGGAAUCAUCUACAAUGCAGCAGAUGGGUUUACAAGUCUCUUGGUCUCUUCAUGAAGAAGGCGCAGCAAUCGUGUCCCAAGUCCUUGAGGACUUCACAGGGUGUUCUAGUGUCCUGAGAAUAUACCUGCCUAAGAUCUCACUGAUAUAAAGUGGAUGAAAGGGAGUGCAAAUACAGGUUCCUUUUUCUCCAAAUUCCAUACUCUCUACCAGUGCUCUGGGACUGGUGAAGAAUUCUGGGCCACUAUCUCUGCAGUGUUACACAAGCAAGUGGCAGGAGAGGUGCCUCCACAAUGCAGCGCGCAGCUCCUCCUGGGCGUCAUUAGCAUGCAGCCUACGUUCUUCAAGAUGGCGCCCAGUUCAGCCUGUCAGCGAGUGAUCUAUGAUGUGUCACUUGUGCUAUUAACAGGCGUUUUCAAUUUCAGCAGCCUCAGCACAUUUAGUUCCUCUCCCAUGUGAUCACUGCUCUGUCCUCCAUUAAUAACCACUUUCAAACCCUUCUAGCACCCACCUGGGCAGUUCCCUCUCAUGCCUUCCUCACAGGGUAGGGCUGGACUCUUUGCCCAUGGGAGAUGAUUGGGAAUAAUCUCUGUCCUGUGGGGUGAGCUGAACAAGGGGCAACUGCUCUACACAUGUGGACCAUCAAUAUAUCUCUAUUAAUGAGUGAAUUAAUUAAAGACAGACACAAAAAAUGACUUUCUCGUUGGUGGAGAUUGUCUGUUGCUGAGAAAGGUGAUGUCAGCUCUCUGGAUGAGGCUGAGGAAGGAGAAAAGGAUGAAGAUGGAACAAGCCCUGCCUUGUCAAUGCUUAUGCUUAGAAAGACUGGGGAGACUUGCAUGACUAUGCAGUGAAGGGUCCCCAAAGGGGGCUUAAUCUGCCGACCCAUGAAGGAUAUCAAGCAUGACUGGGCCUGUUGUAACAUUUCAGAGAAUGUCAGCCAAUAAUAAUAAAAUCUUCUUCAUUCUACAUGCUCUUGCCAGUUUAAACACUUUUUAUCUGAGUUAUUCCCUGUUCAAUAAUCACUAGUUGUUAGGAGGGGAAGACCUAAGCCCUCUCAGAGUUUCUAUCUUACCAUCCAACUUCCACUAGCUUUCCCAGUCCACUAGUGGUAGGGUAUGGG
rnacentral:lncRNA from 1 species